rnacentral:rRNA from 1 species
UACAGAGAGUGCGAACGUUGUUCGGAAUCACUGGGCAUAAAGCGCACGUAGGCUGUGCCGCAAGUGCGGGGUGAAAUCCCACGGCUUACCCGUGGAACUGCCUCGCAGACUGCGGUGCUAGAGUAUGGUAGGGGAGAGCGGAACUCCUGGUGGAGCGGUGAAAUGCGUAGAGAUCAGGAGGAACACCGGUGGCGAAGGCGGCUCUCUGGUCCAUAACUGACGCUGAGGUGCAAAAGCUAGGGGAGCAAACGGG